ACUUCGCAAUGUGCGAAAGCACGACAAGGUUAAUCCGAGUGGUUUCUGCUAAAGGAACCUUUUGCCAGUCCUAGAAACACUGGUGAAUAAGGGGUGGGCAAGUUCUGGUGUCAGCCGCCGCGGUAAAACCAGCACCUCAAGUGGUCAGGAGGAUUAUUGGGCCUAAAGCAUCCGUAGCCUGCUUUGUAAGUUUUCGGUUAAAUCCAUAUGCUCAACAUAUGGGCUGCCGGGAAUACUGCAUAGCUAGGGAGUGGGAGAGGUAGACGGUACUCCGUAGGAAGGGGUAAAAUCCUUUGAUCUAUGGAAGACCACCUGUGGCGAAGGCGGUCUACCAGAACACGUUCGACGGUGAGGGAUGAAAGCUGGGGGAGCAAACCGGGAUUAGAUACCCGCGUAGU
rnacentral:rRNA from 1 species